AGUAGUAUCCUACGGGUAGGCAGCAGUGAGGAAUAUUGGUCAAUGGGCGGGAGCCUGAACCAGCCAAGCCGCGUGAGGGAAGAAGGUACAGCGUAUCGUAAACCUCUUUUGUCAGGGAACAAAGGCGGGGACUAGUCCCCGGAUGAGGGUACCUGAAGAAAAAGCAUCGGCUAACUCCGUGCC
rnacentral:rRNA from 1 species